ensembl:lncRNA
CCACCUCUCUCUCUCUCUCUCCCUCCUCUUUCUCCAGCUCCUGGCCAAGACGGAGUUCACCCUGUACUCUCUGGUGGUGCAGCAGCUGUCAAAACAGGACCACUCUGACUACGCUGGCAAGAACAGACUAGUCUGCACAAGACCAGAUCCUGCUGAUGUCAAUGAAGGACAUGAACAACACCAAGGUGUCCUCUGUCGACCUGUCGCUGUUCAACAACAUCAUCCAGGACCUCAUCCUCGCGAUGGAGACCCCAACCAUCGACUACAGAAAGCUGAUAGAGCCGAUCGAGGCGGAGCUGCG